rnacentral:rRNA from 1 species
UACGUAGGUCCCGAGCGUUGUCCGGAUUUAUUGGGCGUAAAGCGAGCGCAGGUGGUUUAUUAAGUCUGGUGUAAAAGGCAGUGGCUCAACCAUUGUGUGCAUUGGAAACUGGUAGACUUGAGUGCAGGAGAGGAGAGUGGAAUCCCAUGUGUAGCGGUGAAAUGCGUAGAUAUAUGGAGGAACACCGGUGGCGAAAGCGGCUCUCUGGCCUGUAACUGACACUGAGGCUCGAAAGCGUGGGGAGCAAACAGG